CCUACGGGGGGCAGCAGUGGGGGAUAUUGCACAAUGGGGGGAACCCUGAUGCAGCGACGCCGCGUGGGUGAAGGAGUGCUUCGGCAUGUAAAGCCCUAUCGGCAGGGAAGAAGCAAGACGGUACCUGACUAAGAAGCCCCGGCUAACUACGUGCAAGCAGCCGCGGUAAUACGUAGGGGGCAAGCGUUAUCCGGAUUCACUGGGUGGAAAGGGAGCGUAGACGGCCAUGCAAGCCAGGGGGGAAAGCCCGGGGCCCAACCCCGGGAAUGCCCUUGGAACUGCAUGGCUUGAGUGCGGGAGGGGCAGGCGGAAUUCCUGGUGUAGCGGUGAAAUGCGUAGAUAUCAGGAGGAACACCGGCGGCGAAGGCGGCCUGCUGGACCGCGACUGACGUUGAGGCUCGAAAGCGUGGGGAGCGAACAGGAUUAGAUACCCCGGUAGUC
rnacentral:rRNA from 1 species